GUCCCACAUCGGGCUCCCUGUGUGGAGCCUGCUUCUCCCUCUGCCUGUGUCUCUGCCUCUCUCUCUGUGUCUCUCAUGAACAAAUAAAUAAAAUCUUAAAAAAGAAAGGAAGAAAGAAAAAUUGCAGACUUAUCAAGACAUUACCAUUCUCCUCUGCAGGAUAAAAGCCAUCACAUCUUUGGCUAAGACACAGAUGGCUAAAGGAGUGAGGCAGGGCUUUGCAAGGUCUAUAAAUGCUUUGUGCAGAGCCAAUCACCACACCACCCAGACUAUUCAUCCGAACCCCCUGGGUUUCGUCUGUUUAUUUUGCUCAAGAUCUUCUUAGAAUUCCACGAAACCCACUUUGGAAAAUGCCAGACUGGACCAUCAGCUCUUUCAACCGUCGCAAGAGCCUUCAGGAAAGGGGCUCUGUGUUCUUCAUCACAGCAUCCCCAAACACCAAGGACCACAUCUGGUACCUGGUAGGUGCAUGAUCAAGUUGGCUGAAUUAAUACCUCAGUGUGGCCACGUGAAGCAUGUGUGAUUCCCAGGAAAAGUUUGUAUCUUGUUUCCACGAAACCCUGGAUUGCUCGCUUGUUCUGUUCCACCAGUGGGUUGGCCAGGGGAGCCAGGCUUGCACAGAAGGGAGUCUGAGCACCGUGCAGAAGCAGUCAGUCAACCACCCACUGGGAGGCAGAAAGCCAGACCAAGAAGUCCUACAACAAAGAUUCCUUACUAGCAGCCUAGCCCUCCCUUCUGCUCACAUCCAGGUGAGCCAAGGGCCUGAGGGAAAAUAUGGGAAUAGAUGUGACCGGCUGGAAGCUAAGCUCAGGCAACUUGUCCCAGGACAUCUCAGGUAUUCUCUGCCUUCACUGUUGAUCCAGGGGUAGGAUCCCAGCAUAUGGGGGAUUCAUGGAUCACCUCCAAAGGAAUCCUAUGAAGUAAGUGGAGACGGGACUCUGAAAAACCCAGACACUUUAGUUCCUCAGAGUCUUCAAAUGAUUCAUUUGAUUUGAAGCAAACUGGGCCAACAUCCCCUCCAUUUAGUGGUUUUCCAUUAAACUGGCUGGAAUUUUUUUUUUUUAACCAAUCAUGAAUUCAGCUCAUGAGGACAAUGGCUGUGUCUCCCCAUGAGCUAACAUUGCCUGAAUGUGUUCCUCACUCUGUUCUGGCGGCAGCCCCGGUUUUCCAAUCACCAAACCAACGAACCAGACUUCUACUCACAGGGUGUCUUGCUGCCAAACCACUCACUCAGUCCUCUGAACAUGGCCAGGACCUCAGAGACAGUGGGGACAAAGACGCCCGCCCUGCAGUAAUAAAGGCGUCUCCCCAACUCCAGAGGCAGAAGAGCAGCAGAAAUAGGGGUCCUCAUUUGCUGCCCGGUCCAUGCGGGCACUUCUCUUACCUGUUUGACAUUAGUGUCAGGUAGACAGUAGAUCCUCAUUCAAGGUUGAAAUAAAUCGGUUAAAACUCAUCUGAAUUUUACUGGAAGGGGAUCGUGUCUCUGUCCCCUGCUAUAUCCAUCAACUGUGUUAUGCCAAAAAAAGAAGAGAAAAAACGCUUUCCUUUAUUCAUUCCAGGCCUGCUUCUCCCAUUCCACAGCCUGAGAAUUUACACAUUGAUGAUCUUGACAGAAUAAAUCCAUAAACGAGCUAAGCUACGUGUCAGGGCUGGACAUGAAACGUGGCUCAUCCUUAAUUCUGUCCCUUUGCAGACACGUGAGUCUACUUACAGAAGUUGACCAUGAGACAAAGACAUUCCCACUAAAAUCAGAGUAAGAUACAUGAUCCUGGGGACAGCCAUCCCAGGAACUGGUUAGCGUUUUGGGCUGCUCAGCACCUCAGUUUCCCUCAGGGGAUGGCUUCUUCUGGGUCCCACAUCGUCCCACUGGGGUUGAUAAGGUCUCUCUCCCUCUUCUCCUCUGUCCUCUGCCGGCGUCCGUCCAAACACAGCGAGUGGAUCUACUCUGGCUGGGCCCGCUGCUUACUGCUGCAGGAUGCGUGCCACGGACUGGGGUCAGGACAUGGAUGUCCAGCCACAUGACCUGGGCAAGCACUCUCGGCCUACGUUCCUCCACGUGUGAUUAAUCGAAUCUAUAUCAUAUAGGACAGUACUCGGUAUUUACCACAAACUCCACAAAUCAUUUGAGUGGCCAAACUUACAGGGUGGCCCCUUAUCUAUGCUAGGAUGGGAGGCUGUUGGGUGCUUCCAUCAUCAAGGGUGAAGCAUUCGAGGUGCAGCCCCUACCCACUCUGCGGACACCAUUUCUGUCUCACAUGCAAUUGCACCCAAGAAAAAUGAGAUUUGUGGAGCUGAGUGGAGACCGGUGGAAGCCCCUUUGAUUAAGAGAGUAGAGUAUCUCCGGUCAACUCCAAUUUGCGGCCUUCCUGGAGCGGUUUGGUUUACAGGUGUGAGGUUCACUUCUUCCUCCGCGUUCACUUCUUUCUGUCCACCAUCAACCUAAUGCCGCAGCCCAGACCUCACGAUGGCUGACAAACAGAAUUCCUUCAACACAGACCAGGCUCGGAAUCUGAUAGACCUUCACCCACUGCUCUGGUAGCUUUCAAAGCUCCAGCUGGCCUCUCUGGGUCCUCUACCCCGGAAUUCAGGAGCUGGGAAAUGUAAACACUGCAUUUCCCUCCCUUUGAA